rnacentral:rRNA from 1 species
GACGAACGCUGGCGGCGUGCCUAAUACAUGCCAGUUGAGCGCUGAAGGUUGGUACUUGUACCAACUGGUUGAGCAGCGAACGGGUGAGUAACGCGUGGGGAAUCUGCCUUUGAGCGGGGGACAACAUUUGGAAACGAAUGCUAAUACCGCAUAAAAACUUUAAACACAAGUUUUAAGUUUGAAAGAUGCAAUUGCAUCACUCAAAGAUGAUCCCGCGUUGUAUUAGCUAGUUGGUGAGGUAAAGGCUCACCAAGGCGAUGAUACAUAGCCGACCUGAGAGGGUGAUCGGCCACAUUGGGACUGAGACACGGCCCAAACUCCUACGGGAGGCAGCAGUAGAGAAUCUUCGGCAAUGGACGAAAGUCUGACCGAGCAACGCCGCGUGAGUGAAGAAGGUUUUCGGAUCGUAAAACUCUGUUGGUAGAGAAGAACGUUGGUGAGAGUGGAAAGCUCAUCAAGUGACGGUAACUACCCAGAAAGGGACGGCUAACUACGUG